rnacentral:sRNA from 1 species
AAAUUCAAUUAAAAAUCUGAAAAUAUAUAAGAAAAUACAUAUCACCACGCUCUAGAGAAUGUCUAAAAUGUGGGAAAUUAGUUCUCGAUGCAAUUUUAAUCUAUAUAUACAUUUUUGCAGCCAUUUUAGCAAAUAAAUCCUGGU